rnacentral:misc_RNA from 1 species
UCCCACGUGGAGGACGUUUGCCGUGCCCACGUGUUUGUGGCAGAGAAAGAAUCGGCCUCUGGUCGAUACAUUUGUUGCGCUGUCAAUACCAGUGUUCCCGAGCUAGCCAAGUUCCUCAACAAAAGAUAUCCAGAGUACAAUGUCCCUACUGAUUUUGGAGAUUUUCCAUCAAAAGCGAAGUUGAUCCUCUCGUCUGAGAAGCUUACCAAAGAGGGAUUCAGUUUCAAGUAUGGGAUCGAAGAAAUUUACGAUCAAUCUGUGGAGUACUUCAAGGCUAAGGGGAUUUUGAAGAAUUGAAAGCAUUAAUAGUGUACCUAUUUUGGCUAUUUAAAAAAAAG